UGUGGAUUUAUUGAUUUGCCAUCUAAUUUCACCUAUAUAAUCUGAGUUUUCUUGAGGAUUUUGUAGCAUUGUUGUUCUUUACUUUGGUUGUGAUUGCUUUCUUUUUGGUAUUCAAAUGAAUUUAACGUGAAUUGUGGAUUCAUGUCUAUUAGGGUUUCUAGGGUUUCAAAUUGAUUGUUUAGGAUUUUAUUUUACUCAAAUUUGUUUGAUGAGAAAAUGAGGAAACGUAUAAAUACUACCAAGUUUAUGUUUUGAUAACUAUGGAAAACUCAUACUUCAAUUAAAAAGCCUAAUUAGUUUAAUUAACUUCAGACUUUAAGAUCUUGUUAUUUUGUUGAUGUUUCUUUAUUCUAAUGGAUAUACCAAGAUGAGUCUGCAAGUAGAAAAUCUCUGGUAGGCAAUAAUUAGCAUAAUUUUGGUUACUGAGGAAAUGAAGAACCAUAACUGCAAUUGUUUAUUUAUUUAUUUUUUUCUUCUUCUAUGUUUCAAUGAGUUAGUUAGCCUUACAUUUUUUGCUCAUAUUGAUCUUUAGGAAUGAACAAGAUGUUUAAUAGGAUGAAUUUUCCUAUCCCGUAUGUGAAAAAUGGAAAUGUCAAAUAAUCUUUAUGUACUUUUAGAGCAAGUAAAUAUAAGUACAAGUACUGGAAUCAAUGUUUGAGAAAUUUUGUGGCAACGAAUAAGGUUUUUAAUUUUCCAGAAAUUGAUUAUGAUUAGGUACAAUUGGUUCAGAUACAAUUAAGAGUACCCGAGUAUGGUUGGAUGACUCAGAAGGUCUUCCAUUUUCUCAAUUUCGUGGUGAAUGGGGUUCGAGUGAUAGUCUUUAUUUUCUGAGCCUUGCAUUCUUCACAACAUACGCACUCUUAGUUUUGUUCUGGGCAGAGAUAUACUAUCAGGCACGUGUUGUAUCUACUGAUGGACUCAGGCCGAGUUUCUACACAAUUAAUGCCGUGGUUUAUGUUGUUCAGGUGGUUGUCAACCUUCACAUAUUAAUAACGACAGCCACAGUUUUGUUUCCAGUUUUUGUGAUCCUCAGGUAUGAUUCUGCUGUUCUAUCUAGCGUCACAUUAAUGCUCUUUGCGUACGUUGUGCGGUUGAAGUUGGUAUCCUAUGCACAUACAAAUUAUGACAUGAGAGCGCUUGCUAAGUCAGUUGAAGAAUGGAUGGGGCUUUCCUUUGGAUUUUUAUUUAUCUUCUUUUUUUUUCUUUUUUUUCCUCUGGUCUGACUGGGGGUUUGGGUGUUUUGGUUCACUUUCUUCUUAUUUUUUGUGUUAAAUGGGGGAGUGGUGAGAGAGAGAAGAGGGUAAUGUUAUUUUGUGGCUUUGUACACAAGAUAAUAAUUUUUUGAUUGA